rfam:Caenorhabditis brenneri strain PB2801 C_brenneri-6.0.1_Cont14.30, whole genome shotgun sequence.
GUUUCGAUCAACUCAUUCUGCUGGUUGUUAUGCCAAACAUUGAAAUUUAAGCAUCACAACCUCCUAGAAAGAGUGGAUCGAUCC